rnacentral:rRNA from 1 species
GACGAACGCUGGCGGCGUGCUUAACACAUGCAAGUCGAACGGAAAGGCCCUGCUUUUGUGGGGUGCUCGUGUGGCGAACGGGUGAGUAACACGUGAGUAACCUGCCCUUGACUUUGGGAUAUCUUUAGGAAACUGGGGCGAAUACCGGAUAGGAGCUCUUGCUGCAUGGGGUGGGUUGGUAAAUGUCGGUGGUUGGGGAUGGUCUCGAGGCUUAUGAGCUGGUUGGUGGAGUAGUGGAGUACCAAGGCUUUGACGGGUAGCCGGCCUUGGAGGGUGGCCGGGCUCAUUGGGACUGCGAGAGGCACCAGAAUGGUACCGGAGGCAACAGUGGAAAAUAUGGCGGAACAGCCGGGAGCCUGAUGCAGCGACCUCGCGUGCGUAAUGACCGCCUACGAGUUGUAAACCGCUUUCGCCUGUGACGAAGCCUGAGUGACGGUAAUGAAUAAGAAAGCACCGGCUAACUACGUG